AUUGAACGCUGGCGGCAUGCCUUACACAUGCAAGUCGAACGGUAACAGGUCUUCGGACGCUGACGAGUGGCGAACGGGUGAGUAAUACAUCGGAGCGGGCCCAGUCGUGGGGGAUAACUCCUCGAAAGAGUAGCUAAUACCGCAUACGAACUGAGGACGAAAGCGGGGGACCUUCGGGCCUCGUGCGAUUGGAGCGGCCGAUGGCAGAUUAGGUAGUUGAGGGGAUAAAAGCUUACCAAGACGACGAUCUGUAGCUGGUCUGAGAGGACGACCAGCCACACUGGGACUGAGACACGGCCCAGACUCCUACGGGAGGCAGCAGUGGGGAAUUUUGGACAAUGGGCGAAAGCCUGAUCCAGCAAUGCCGCGUGCAGGAUGAAGGCCUUCGGGUUGUAAACUGCUUUUGUACGGAACGAAAAAGCUCCUUCUAAUACAGGGGGCCCAUGACGGUACCGUAAGAAUAAGCACCGGCUAACUACGUGCCAGCCGCCGCAGUAA
rnacentral:rRNA from 1 species